UAAAAUACGUUGAUUGUAAACACCAUGUUAAGUAAAGCAUGCCCAGACACUUGAUUGUCCGUUUAUGGUGGUUUUAUGCGAUCAAACGUUGACGACAAUAACAACAAAGUUCCACGGUGGCCAGAGAAAAUCAGUCCUGACUUGAGGGCCGUUCCAAAGCGUUUCGUCAGGCAACUCUGGACAAGAACGGUGAGCCUCCACGAGGAAGACUGGUGUCCACGGCAACCCAUCCUCAUCAGGGUCUCCAGCGAAGCACUCCUGCUCAUCCAUCAAUCAAAAGUUGCUGCUGGGAAUGUCACAGCCAAAUUGACCGUGCUCCAGUACCCCAAGCCAGAGAAACCAAGAUGCCAUUGUUAGCAAUACCAAUUCUAGCCAGGUUAGCCAUUGAAAGCCAUUGUUAGGAAUACCAGUUGUUAACAAUGCAUUAGUAUUAUUUUGCGCAUACAACCAUGCACACAGAUAUAAGUUGUACAGUAGUGUUUGUACAAUUGCUUAUAAACAGUAUAUUACUCAAGUUUUCACUACUGUUGAUCGGCCAAGGAUCUUGAGGACAGGAUUGUGAUGAUCUUGUGACUUUCUGAGUCAAAGAGCUGACUUCAGUGGGCGUUCCAGUGGGCAUUCCAGUUUAAAUUUACGACUGGGAACUUUGACUUCCCAGUUCAAAUGAAACGUGUGCCCCUAGCUGUCCUAAAAUCAGUGUAAAUAAUGACCUCAAUGGCAUUUUGCUUUUAAUAAAUGGUUACAAACAGCGUAAACUAAAGUAAUCACCCUGCAACAUAAAAUGUGAUAAUUUCUAGAAAAAUAUACGUAAAUAAUUCUCCCAGGCAAUAUAGUUCCCCAAGACAGCAAUAGCAACACAGACUAGCAUACUUUGAGAUUGGCAGCAUAUUAGUAUUAAAAAUCAUUGUAAUGCGCCCACAUGUGUGUGAGUACGGUUUCAGCUAAUCCAAAUCAAGAAACAGAAAUAGCCUUUUAAUAAUUACCAAAUAGCACUAGCAUAAUAGCCUUAAUAUGUUGUAAUAGCUUAGAAUAAGCCUCAGGCAAAAAAAAC